GGGAGAGAUCACUGUGUGCACAGGUGUGUUUGUGCACAGGUGUGUGUUUGUACUGUGCACAGGUGUGUUUAUGCACAGGUGGAAUGUAUUUUGCACAGGUGUUUAUGCACAGGUAUGCAUUUGUGCACAGGUGUUUAUGCACAGGUGUGUGUUUGUGCACAGGUGUGUUUAUGCACAAGUGGAAUGUACUGUGCACAGAUGUGUUUAUGCACAGGUGGAGGUGUACUGUGCAGAGGUGCUUAUAAACAGGUGUGUGUUUAUGCAUAUGGGAUAUGCACUGUGCACAGGUG